rnacentral:rRNA from 1 species
UACGUAGGGUGCGAGCGUUAAUCGGAAUUACUGGGUGUAAAGGGUUCGUAGGCGGUGUGGCAAGUCGGGAGUGAAAUCUCUGGGCUCAACCCAGAGGCUGCUUCCGAAACUGCUGUGCUUGAGUGUGGGAGAGGCGCGUGGAAUUGCAGGUGUAGCGGUGAAAUGCGUAGAUAUCUGCAGGAACACCCGUGGCGAAAGCGGCGCGCUGGACCACUACUGACGCUGAAGAACGAAAGCUAGGGGAGCAAACAGG